UACGAAGGGGGCUAGCGUUGUUCGGAAUCACUGGGCGUAAAGGGCGCGUAGGCGGCUUUGUAAGUCGGGGGUGAAAGCCUGUGGCUCAACCACAGAAUUGCCUUCGAUACUGCAUGGCUUGAGACCGGAAGAGGUAAGUGGAACUGCGAGUGUAGAGGUGAAAUUCGUAGAUAUUCGCAAGAACACCAGUGGCGAAGGCGGCUUACUGGUCCGGUUCUGACGCUGAGGCGGCGAAAAGCGUGGGGAGCAAACAGGAUUAGAA
rnacentral:rRNA from 1 species